GCACUCCCUACCCAUAAUAGAAGAACCCUUUAGUAGAGUAGCGGUGGACAUAAUAGGACCGUUGAAGAAACCCAGUCCCUCCGGCAAGAAGUACAUCUUGACCGUAGUGGACUACGCCACCAGAUACCCCGAAGCAGUGGCCCUAACUAAUGUACAUGCUAACACCGUGGUGGAUGCCCUUAUGCGAAUAUUCUCCCGCAUGGGAUUGCCCCGGGAGAUUAUUUCGGCUAGAGGUACCCAAUUCACGGCAGAGGUCACUCACCAACUCUGGAAAAUAUGUGGAGUAAAAUCUAUCCUUAACUCUCCCUACC